AUACGGAGGGUGCAAGCGUUGUUCGGAAUUACUGGGCGUAAAGCGCGUGCAGGCGGUAAGGUAAGUCAGAUGUGAAAGCCCCGGGCUCAACCCGGGAAGUGCAUUUGAUACUGCCUUUCUUGAGUAUGGGAGAGGAGAGUGGAAUUCCCAGUGUAGAGGUGAAAUUCGUAGAUAUUGGGAGGAACACCCGUGGCGAAGGCGACUCUCUGGACCAAUACUGACGCUGAGACGUGAAAGCGUGGGGAGCGAACAGGAUUAGAAACCCUAGUAGUCC
rnacentral:rRNA from 1 species